UACGGAGGAUGCAAGCGUUAUCCGGAAUGAUUGGGCGUAAGCGUCCGCAGGUGGCUAUGUAAGUCUGCUGUUAAAGAGCAAGGCUCAACCUUGUAAAGGCAGUGGAAACUACAUGGCUAGAGUGCGUUCGGGGCAGAGGGAAUUCCUGGUGUAGCGGUGAAAAUGCGUAGAGAUCAGGAAGAACACCGGUGGCGAAAGCGCUCUGCUAGGCCGCAACUGACACUGAGGACGAAAGCUAGGGAGCGAAUGGGAU
rnacentral:rRNA from 1 species